ACACCUGUGACGAAGUGGUAUCGUGCCGUUCUUAUAUUUGUCAAGCGAUGCUCGACCUAUAUGGCAAUGCGGAAGUCGAGGGUUCGAACCCCUCCAGGUGUA